CGACACGUGCCUUUGGGAGCC
rnacentral:siRNA from 1 species